rnacentral:tRNA from 1 species
AGUGUUGACAAAGCCGCCAGUUAGUUAGAGCGCAGGUUUGUGGCACCUGAGGUCGGUGGUUCGACCCCACUCAACCGUACCA